rnacentral:misc_RNA from 1 species
CACAACCUUCUGGCGAUCUUUUAAAAUAAAGCCUAGCCUGCUUUAAAAAAACGGGCGUUUAGAUACUCUUUAAAUUCUUAUGAAUCUUAAAGAGUAUGAAUUAAAAAAAGGCUUUAUGAAGAAAGCACUUUAAGCUUUUCCAACGAUUUAAGAUGAUACCGGGGAAGGUUUUUCCGGUUUAUCCCGGAGGGCUUGUAGCUCAGUUGGUUAGAGCGCGCGCUUGAUAAGCGUGAGGUCGGAGGUUCAAGUCCUCCCAGGCCCACCAAUUUAUGCUCGUUUUUUGCUUAUCUUGAGCCUUAUGAAGCUUAAGCGUGUCAAAGCCUCUUUAAUCUUUGUUCAUAGUUUAAAGAUUUAAUUUUAACGUCCCUUCAAGGGUGCAGAUAAAUUUAAAGAAUAAAAAUCAAAUUUAAGCAAUACAAAUCAAAAUAAUAUUGAUUAAAAGAGGAUUAAAAGAGGACAAGUCAUUCAAGUUGAUCAAUUUUCUUGAGAUUGAUUUGAGAGAGCAUUCUUUAGGGGCCGUAGCUCAGCUGGGAGAGCACCUGCUUUGCAAGCAGGGGGCA